GGCGGGGCUGGUUACGCGGUGGGCGGGGCCAGGGUCUCGGUCCUCUCGCUUGCGGGAUGGCACAAUUGGCUCAGUCCCAGAGUCUUGGCGCGGUUGAGCUCCUCCCGGGCGACAGAGCCUCUCUACUUUUCACGUCGUGCCACCGCAAGAUAGCCAGUUCCUCCCUAUGGCGACCGCCUGGCUCUGCUAGACAAGCUGACUGCGAUGCUCCUGCUCUUCCACCUUGGAAAGAUUCAUGCAGAAGUCACAUGGAGAAGGGCCCCAGGCACAUGAACCCGAAACAGAUAUAUGAGCUUGCCACCAAGAGUAAGGACCAGAAGGCAAAAAGCAAAGUUUCCCUCUUCUAUGUCCUGUUAUCUCAGCUGCCAUGAGAAGGUGCUGCCUAGAUUUAAGUGUCCUUCAAUAAGGCUGCUUGGGAAGGGUUAGAAGGUGUGGCCUUGUUGGAUGAUGUGUGUCACUGGGGGGCUGGGCUCUGAAGUUCCAAAAGCCCAUGCCAGGUCCAGUCUCAUCUCCGUCUGCCUGCCUGCCACCAUACUUCCUGCCAUGAUGAUAAUGGACUCGCCCUCUGAAACUGUAAUUAAGCUCCAAUUAAAUGCUUUCUUCUGUAAGUUGCCAUGGUCAUAAUGUUUCUUCACAGCAUAGAACAGUAACUAAGACAGGGACAUUCUCAUUCAAACCACCACACAGAUGGGUUAAUUAAUGCCUCUGCCACCUGGGUUCUUCUCUCCUGACACUGGAUUAGUUUCCAGGAGAGCAGGUUAUUAUAUAGUAAAUUCAGUUUCCUUGAGUUCCUCUUGCUUCUCUCUGCAUAUACUCACUACUUGCCUGCUUCUUUCCACUGUGGGUUGAAACACCACAAGGUUCUCACUAUAUCAUAGUCUUGGGCAUCCCCAGAUGCCAAAAAUCAACCUUUUCCUUAUACUUUUCCUAUUUCAAAUAUUGUUAGUAGCAACAGAAAAUGGACUAAGACAAUUUCUCUAAAACUGGAGCCUGAACCAUCACUUGAAGAAAUAAUUUCGAGUGGUAGUGGCACAUACCUUUACUUGGUAUGCACAGGCAGGUGGAUCUCUGUGAGUUUGAGGCCAGACUAGUCUACAAGAGCAAGUUCCAGGACAGGCUCCAAAACUACACAGAGAAACCCUGUCUGGAAAAACUAAGGAGGAGGAGGAGGAAGAGGAGGAGGAGAAAUGGUUUCUUAGGAGAAUGCUAUCAUAAUAAGCACAGUGAAGGAAGAAAAAUCAGGAAAGGGAGCUAAGCAAGGUUGUGGUCUUAUUGAAGCUGAUCUUCAGCCUGAUCGCAUGGAGAACCUUGGAAUAUGAAUUGUACCAGAGUUAAAUCUACUUUGAAGUUAUGGAGGAACAGCCUGCCUCUAGCUCAUUAAGCAGACAACACUAACAAUAAGAAGGAACCAUUUAAGAAAAUUUGGUAGGAGUGUUAAUAAUAUAGUUGUUGCAUGUCUGCUAUGUACAACACCUACUGUGAAGCAAGGCUUAAUUGUUGCCCUCGUAAGAGCUAUUUGAUUGGCAAUCUGGCUUUUCCCAAGCAUCACCAGACCUCUUUAGGCACUAUUUAAAACAUCAGUAUACUUUAGUAUUCCAACCAUCACCUUAUAUUUUAGUUUAUGUGAGACUAGCUGAUUCUCUGACUAUAAAUGUCAUGAUUUCACCCAACAGCUAACCAGCAGGUGCUAUGUGGCCUGUGAAAGAGACUGAUCCUGAAAGCUUAGAAAAAUAAUAAUGAGGCUCUAUUGGAAGCUCUUUUGGGUAUCCCAUAUGAGGAAUGAAUGAAUCCAUUUAUAGAUGUAAUGUCCUGGCUGGUCCUUAGCAGACUCUAAAGAAACAUUUUCAGAAGACCUUAGUCUGUGAACAUAGGGUCAGCCUCUGAGCUGUUGGCAGAGCUCCCACUGGACUCCACAAGUAAGCCCUCCAAGUACUGGAAAUGGCCUUUAGAUAUACUCUAUGGCUCACCAGGUUUUAAGAUCAUCAAUUUAAAGUCCUAGGACUUGAAAUUUCCUUCUUUCUGUAUUCGUUUGUUUUGUGGUGCUAGGGACUAAACCUAGGACCUUGAGUAUGCUGCACAAGCACCCUGCCAUUGAGGUACAGCCCAAGCAAGCCUAGAGUUGAAAUUUCUAUUGGAUGAGCUAGACUCAUGCCCCUCCUCCAAAUUUCUACAAUAGAGAACAAGAGGUUUCCCCUACAUAUAGAAGAG
ensembl:lncRNA